rnacentral:lncRNA from 1 species
AGGGUAAGGAGUCUCAGACUCCGGAAUCUCAUCCAUUAUGCCUCCGUAAGGACUAAUGAUAAGCUGCACCGCCUCAGGUUCCUCCUCGUAAAACCUUUGCCACCGACCUUCUAAUGCAGUUUCAGGAAUAGAUUCCUUAACAUAGUCCGAUUUCCCUUUGAAGAACACCGAUCUACCUGUCCUGUUAAGCAAAAUAUCUAACGAUUCACUUUGUGGGAUAUCUACAAAGUAGAGGAUACUUUGGAUCCAGCUCAUUUCAGUACAGUCUUCUUUGACUAUUCCAAGCUCUGGAAAGCUUUCUUGCAUCAACACAAGUAGUUGAUCAAUUCUACCAAGAAACAAGCUAGUGAAAGAAGCUUGUAUUGUUCUUUUUCCUUCUUGUUGGCUUGAAUUCACAGCUUUUAAAAAGAGUCUGAGGUACAAAUCUUCGUGAAUCUUUGGUGCUACUGAUUGCCACUUGUGAACAAGCAUUGUUCCAUUCUCUUCCAAUGUCCUGUUCACUGUAAAUACAGUCACAGUUGAUGGAACAGAAACUAACUUUACUUUCCACGACACAAUGACCCCGAAACUGGCUGCCCCACCUCCUCGAAUGGCCCAAAAUAGAUCUUCCCCCAUAGAGUUUCUAUCAAGAAGUCUGCCAUCAACAUCAACCAAGUGUGCAUCAAUUAUUUGAUCAGCAGCAAGGCCAAACUUGCGUAUCAUCAUGCCAUAACCUCCCCCGCCAAAGUGACCGCCAACACCCACAGUGGGGCAAACACCAGCUGGGAAGGCAAGAGUUGAGCUUUUCUCUGCAAUUCUGUAAUAUAAUUCACCUAUAGUGGCACCGGCUUGAAUCCAUGCGGUUUUAUUUUCUGCAUCAACAUCGAUUGAUCGUAAAUUAAUCAAAUCAAUGAUUACAAAUGGAACUUGAGAUACGUAGGAAAGACCCUCGUAGUCAUGACCACCGCUCCGUAUUCUAAUCUGCAUGUCAUGAAUUCUUGAGCAUUUAAUGGUUGCUUGGAUAUGGGAGACGUGGGUGGGCGUAACUAUGACUAAAGGUUCGGGGGUUGUUGGUGUAGAAAACCGAGCAUUCCGAAUAGAAAAAUCCAAGACAGAUGAAAAUGAAGAGUUGUUUUGAGCAUAAAUGAGUUUGGAGAAGGAAGAGGCAUCGCCAGAAUGCAGGGUAAGGCAUUGGAGGAAGUUGUCGUGACGGUGAAUUUCAGCCAAAGUUAGCCAUGAAAAUGAGAAGAGAAGAGGCAUUGCGAGAUUAGCGGUAGUUCACUUCAUUUGAGUUACAGGACUUUGUGCUUGAGAGAAUUGGCAGACCCGCCCUCGCUUUUUCUGACCAUUCCCCUGUAUGAAAUGUAACUUCCAUUUUUUCAUUUCGUUUCACAUUUUUUUUUGUGUCGGCUAGAUAUUUCUGUCUCAUUUAUAUGCCCAUAUUUGAUUUUUUUUUUUUGAAGGAAAUAAAAUUCAUUAGAUUCGUGAAUAAUUUUGAUUACAGUCCUCACGCACCGUUUCAAUUAUUACAAUAGGACAAACCUCAAUCCAAUGUUCAUCUCUGUCUAACUGCACUCCAUUGGUUGCUAAUUGAUAACUAUGCCCAUAUUUGAUUUUUUUUUUUUUUUUUAAACAAACUCAACUGGAUUAUUAUUUUUAAGAUAUUUUAUUAAAUUAAAAUUUUAAAAAUAUAGUUUGAGAAAUUUGAAACUCAAACAUCUUAAAUCUUAUUUUAAAAUUUAAAAUUUUAUUAUUUUAUUAAAAUUAAUAGUCAAAGUCGAAUUUAUUUGACUUAAAAAUCAAUUAAAGUAAUUGGUUUGUAGGUCUGGUAGAAAAAUGGAAAGACAGGAAAUUAAAGGAGAAAAGUAUAGAGAUAAAAACAUUUUUUUUCAUUGGCGUGUUUGAUAUAAAAGAUAAGAAAAUUUAAAAAAUAAUAAAUUUUUUUAUACGUUACUGGAUAGAAUGAAAAAAUAAAAAAUAAGUUAUUUUAUUUUAUUUUAUAAUUAAAGUAACUAGCAUGUUUAAUCAUUAAAAUUUUGUAAUUUUCUAUUUUACUCAUCUAGCUAUAAAAAGUCACGGUUUGAUCACAAACGUUUAUAAAAUUUAAUUUUUUGUUCACUAAACCAUUAGAGAUUAUGAAUUGGCUGGCGUGGUAUUUACACUUCGUUUAGCAUUCUCUAUGUAGUAUUAUCGAAGUGGUAUUAUAAAAUUUGAAAAAAAUAAGAUUUAAAAAAGGAAAAUGGAAAUUACACUUUUGAUCAAUUAAGUAUUCAGAAGCUUUUAUUUUAAUCAUUCAAUUUUGAAAAAUUCAAAAUUUGGUUGUUAACAUUCGUAAAAUUUAUUAAUUUUUUAUCUUCAUUAUCAACUACUCGUUUGUUAGUGUAAUUUUACAACGAUUUGGUUGGCAACAUUUACAAAAUAAUAGCUUGAUUAGAUUCUUAUUGAUGAUCAUGCCACUCUAGUUAAAAAGAUAUAUGACUAAUGUUUUAUGCAACAAGUUUUUAGAGAAGUUAAAGUUUUAUUGUCACAACAAACAUUAUCCGAAAGGUUCUAUUACUGAAAGAUAUUUAACAAAAGAGUGUAUGACAUUUUGUUCUCAUUAUUUAGAAGAUAUUGAAACGGGAUUUAACAAACCAUCAAAAAAUGUUGGCAUGCAGCAUACUGACUCUCUCUACAAUUAUCCUUUUCAAAGUUUUGGACAACCAAUAAGCAAAAUUGAAAUGAUGGAGGUAGAUGAUAAAUAUUGGGUACAAGCACAUUUAUAUGUUUUUUUUUUUUCAUUAUGACUCUAUUGAAUCAUUUCGCAUGUAAAUUUUUUAGCAAGAAAAUUACUCGUUACAUUAAGCAUAAUUUAUUGUAUUUUUUUAUUGUUAAUACUUUAUCAUGAUACUUUGUAGUAGUAUAGAAAUAAUUUGAGAGCUUCUACACAUUAUCGAUGAUCAAACCUCGAGAGUUUGAUAAGUAGUUCGUCAAAAACUUUCAUGAAUAGUUAGGAGCAACUGUAAGUAAUGUCAUACUUCCUAUUAUGAGAAAUCUACAAAGAAUGUUUAUGGUAUAACUAACAUUAAUAAUAUAUAUAUAUUUAUUCCCCUUUUAUAAGUUUGGAGUGGAAGGCUUGUUAAUGAAGAGGUGAAGUGUCUUUUACAAAGUCUGAACAGGAUUGUGAAACGAUACAAAAGUUUCAUCAUCAAUGAUUUAGAUUUUAUACUAAAUCUCGUAAGAGAUUUAGAAGUACACAAAAUUCAAGAGUUGUUGUUACUUCAUCAAAUACUAACUAUGCUAGUGUUAGCGACACAAAUCCUUUAGAGGAAAAUGUUGACUAUAAUGGCAUGAUUAAUGACAUUAUUGAGUUGGAUUGUUAUGGCAAGUAAAAAGUUAUCUUAUUUCAGUGUGAUUAGGUUGAUGUGAAUAGUGCGAGGGAUAUUAAGAAAGAUUAGUAUGGAUUUACACUUGUGAAUUUUUUUCGAUUAAUUCAUAUUGGACAACAACUCAUCGAUGAAUCUUAUGUUUUUUUAUCUCAAAUCAAACAAGUUUUUUAUUUUGAAGAUCCCAAUAAUUGGGUUGGUUUAUUAUUUUUUGAAACACACCUACAGAGUUAUUUGAUAUGAGAUUAGAUACAAAAUAUGAUGUUGAACAUGGAACUAAAUGUUAUCAUUUUGUUUAACAAAACUUGGAUGAAAAUAUCUCUAGUACCUAUGCUUAAUGGGUCCACAAAGAUGUUAAUGAAAAUAUUUAUGAACCAUGAUGGAUCAUUUAUAUUUUGUAAUUUGUGUGUUUAAGACAUAAUGUAGUAAAUGAUAUGUAUAAAAAAUUGUCACAUUCGCUAUUGUAUAUUUAUUGUAUUGUAAAUCAUACAUUAUAUUUUGAUAUAAUUAAAUCGAUACAUUCUUUAUAUAUUGAAGGUUAUGAUUUCUUAACUUCUCAAUGCCUUUAUAUAUGUUCUAAACUAAUAUCUUUUAUAUAUUCGCUUUUAUGAUAUAGGUAAGCUACAAUACGAAGGAGUAAUUGAAAAGAAUACAUAUCAAAGAUAUUAGUUUAGAACCAUCUACGACACCUAUUGAUAUUGGCUAUAGACUGAAUCUUUUAAAGAGGAAUGAACAUACUAUUAGAUCUAACUCAAUUACUUUUAACCCUUAAACUGAUAUUGGAUAUGACAAUACGGAAGGUCAAGGUUUAGAUAGUAUUUUAUCAAUUGAUUAUGCUUUAAAUUUGAAUGCAAGUAUCAUAUACCCUAUAUUUAGAAUUUGAUUAUAAUGAUAAAUGUAUUGCCAUUUUACAAAUUUAUUUUUUAUUUUUUGCAGUUGAUGACAAUGGUCAACGGAGGACCAGAGGCUGAACAACUUUGAAGGAAUUGUUUGCACUACCUUCGAAUAAGCCUAUUAUAAUGUCUGCAAACUUUGAUAAGCAACCAAUUAGUUAAGAGGCUCAAUUAUUGGCUGGAUUUCUAGGUAUAUUUGCUCAUAAUGGAAUGAAAUUGCCUAUUCAUUAUGAAACAUGGCAUAAAGUUUUAGCAGAAGUUAAGGUCGAUGCUUUAAACUUUAUUGAGGUAUUAAUAUAAUUAAUUACAUAUAAAAAAAUAAUUAUUUUAAAUUUAGUUUAUUGAUUAAAACUUUUCUUUUUGUAUUAUUACAAUUAAGAUUUGUACUUGAAAUACCAACUUCAUUUGUGCUUAAGUCAUUGGUAAAGAAAUGGAAAGAUUAUAAGCAUAAUUUGAAGAAUAAGUAUUUCGAUUGAAAUACUACUGUAGAGACAAUGAUGAAAAAUCUACCUCGUAAUGUAAUUAAGUGGUAAUAUAAAUAAUUAGUUAGAUUUUGAUUCUCAAGAAAAUGAGAAGUACUAAUUUAUAACUUUAUAUAGUAUAAUGAAAUAAUGAAAGUGUUUUAUACUUUAAGUUAGUAAUAUUUGUAUUUUUACUAUAUACGCAAUUAUUUUGUAUGACAGGAAAGAGAACAGAUUGGAAUUGAUAGCAAAAAGCAAUAGAAAUAUAGCCACACAAGUGGAUCAAAAAGUUUUACAAGAAAGCAAAAAGAAAUAGUAAGUUUAUGAUUUUAAACUUAUUCUAAUGAAUGAACUUUUUGUGCCAUUAAAAGGUAAAUAUGCAAAUUACCAGUUAUUGUUUUGUUUUAAUAGUUUUGAUAGUUUCAAUACAUGAUAUUAAACUUAUCGAAAGUUUUGAACUUAGUUGACACAGAUGAUAUGUAUGAAAAAGUUAUUGUUUACAUCUAUUUAGGUAAAAAUACAAAUUUGUUGUUAUUGUUCUAUUUAAACAGUUUAAAUAGCUUCAAUACUUGAUAUUAAACUUGUCCGAUUGAUUGAACUUAGUUUCUAUAGUUGAUAGGGUUGAAAAGUUAUCGUUUAUGUCUAUUUGGGACUAUUUUUGCCUUUAAAAGGCACAAAUACAAAUUAAACCUUUGGAUGGCUUUUAAUAGUUUGAAUGGCUUCAAUCCAUGAUAUUAAACUAGUCCAAAUAAUUGAAUUUGGUUGCCAUGAUCGAUAUGUGUGAAAGGCCAAAAUACUUUUUAUUGUUUGUAUCUAUUUAAGACUAUUGUGUUGUUAAGGGACCAAAAUAUAAAUACAUGACAUUCAAAAUAUUCAAAAUUUUUAAACUUGAUUGACAAGCUUGAUAUGUAUGAAUAAGUUACGAUUGAUAUGUAUCAUAUCAAAUAACAUAUGUUUUUAUAUAAGAGAUUGAGAUGGGGAGUAAAAUUGGAUGUGUGAAACUUUUUCGCUUAAUAUACACAAAAAAGAUAGAUCUUACAUGAAUGUCGAAACACAAAAAAUGAUGAUAAUUUGUAACAUGUAUUUUAACAGAAAGUAAAUAUUUACUCUUUUUAACAUAUUAUCAAUUAAUCAUUAAACUUGAUCGUUGUAUAUGACUAAUUUACAUAAAAAAGCAAAAGAGAAAAUGGUUGUUGAGAUUGAAGUAGCAUAUGAUGGUUCUUUCAACAUGCCAGAAUUGAAAAAUCAGAUAUUCAUAGAAGUUGCUGGAAAAGAAAGGCAUGGACGAGUCUGAAGCCUCGGAUUGGGUCCAACACCAUCUACUUACUAUAGAUAUAGCUCUCAACAAUUUACAUUAUCAACAAGUCAGUCUUCGCAAGAUAUUUCGAUAUUGAGAGAGGAGUUACAAAUUAUGCAACAACAUUUUCAGAGCAGAAAGAGAACAAGAGCAUACCAAAAUUGAGGAAGAACAUGCUAAAAUGGAGCAAGAGCAUGUAAAAUUUUAAUAGUUACAUGAUCAAUUCGAUUAUCUUAUGAAUUUUAUGCAACAACAAUUUUCAAGAACUUAUCUCGAUGGUCCACCAACUCAGGUAUUAUAUUUAGUAAAUAUUUAUCUUUUUUAAUAUAAAAAAAGCUUAUAGUGAAGUAUUAAAAAUUGUAUGCUAUUAUUCAGUAAGUUUUUGAGCAUGCUAAUGAUCAAGGUGAUAAAAUUCCUUCAUCAAUUGGUACCCUUUUAAAAUCUAUGCAAUCAUCAAUUUCAUACAUUUUUAUUUUUAUUUUGUUAAUGUAUUAAAAAAUUUUGAAUGUUAUUAUACUAAUUAUUAAACUUUGAGUUAACUAGAUGUAUAUUUGAACGUGAAUUAAGUUUAUAUUAAUUUUAGUUGUUGAAUUUAACCUCGUUUAUGAAAAUAAUAAAUAUUUACAAAAAUUUUUUAUUUAAAAAAAUACAUUUCUUAAUUUCGUAACGUUUACGUUCAAAAAUAUCGCUAAAUAAAUAAUUUAGUGAUGUUUGUACCAUAAAAUGCCACUAAAAGUAGUAGUGCUCUUACUAAAAAAUGUAUUAAAUUAAUGAUAUUUUUUUGAUAUAAAUGCUACUAAAGUAAUGACGUUUUUUUUUUUAUAUAAAAAUGUCACUAAAUUAGUGACAUCUUAAAGAUACAAAUGCUGCUAAAAUAAUAACGUUUUUUAGAUACAAACGUUACUAAUAUAACGGUACUUUUUAGAUUCAAACAUCGCUAAUAUAAUGGUAUUUUUCAUAUACAAAUACCAUUAAUAUAAUAAUGUUUUAUAAAAAAACUUUGCUAAUUUUUGUGACGUGUUUAUAGUCAACACUCUGACUAAGAUUUUUUUACAAAUAUCAUAAAUUUUUUAAUGACGUUUAUAAAUACCAUUAAACGUUAAAAAAAAUACUACUAAAAAUUUAAACUCCUCUAAUGAUACAUUGAUCUGUCAAAAUCAAUGUGCUGCUUUAAUUGGUUACCGUCUAAAUCCAAUAAUUUUGUGGCUCUACCACCAAAACUUUUCUUCAACAUGUUCGGUCUGACUGUUAGCUAAAAAUGUAGAUAAACGAGUCCAAAACCACAAUUGGUUUGUACGUCGUUAACCGUUCACUGCUCUUCCCGUUUACAGGUUCAACUCUUCGUUUCCUUUCGGCUGCUCUUUUCCUAUACCUUUAAAAAGACCUAAAAAUCAAAUGUCCAGUUUUAAAUUUUAAUGUUUAAAAAUAUAUACUCAAUUAAUUAGAUAUUCUUUUUAAAUUAUUACGUUAGGGUUAAGCUCCACGUGUUCCCAUUUAUCAAGAAAAAGCCGACAACUAAUCCAAAAGUGCCACAUCAAUAUUCAUUAUUGAUUUUCCUCUCUAAGAAUCUGUUUGUUAUGUUUUAAAUUGAGAAAAUUGGAAAUUAAUGGAGUUAAGCUAGCUUAGAGUAAAUAAAAGUGGCUUUCAUUACUUUUCAAAAUAUUUUAAUUUGGAUCAUGUAGCAAUAAUGGCCAUCUCUCAGCACUCAGCAGGGAAGUAGCUAGAGGAAAUGGAUUGUGGUGGACCGCUGCAAUCAAUGUCAGCUAUUCAUUUUUUAAAUUAUUUUCUCAAUGUGGAACCGACGGAGCAGUUGGUGCGUGCGUUUGGGACACACAACUUUUUCCUUUUAAAUUUAAGAUUUUUUUGUUAACGCGUAUUUUAAAAGCAUCUUUUAAUAUGCUGGAAUUAAUUAUUAAUUAUUUUAAUUAACAUAGAAUAUUUUUUAUAAUAAUAAUAAUUUAAUUAAUCUUUAAAAAAUUCAUUACCCUUUAUCUCUGUUGAGAAUUUUGAUUAGUAUAUAUUACUGCUCCUUUUCUCGGGUGGGUCGCAAUGCACCGAUUUCCCUGCCCCAUGCAUUAGCCCCACGUUCUGGGGAUGCCUUAUCCUGAUUAGAUUCCUCGCUGUUUGUUUGUUAAUUGCCCAAGUGGAUCUUAAACUCAUCUUAGUAUUGAUGAAUGCAAUAUGGUAUUGAAGCAGUUAAUUACAUGAACUACUUGAAGUUAAAGCAAAAAUAAAAUGGUUUAGAUUGAUAAAUCUUGUUUUAUCUCCACUAAUCUAAGGGAGUUGAAAAGCCUUAUUUUAUUGUCACUAAUCUUACAAUUUUAAAGUGUUGUGUCUUAUAAAUUACUACUUGUUAUAAUAAAUCUGAAUAUUUUAUAAACAAAAAUAUUUAAAAUGCUAAUUUAAAAAUAUAAUAAAUAAUAUAAUUAUUUUCAUCAAAUUCAAAAAUUUUUAACAUUCGUAAUUUUAUAAAUUAUUAAUUGAUUAUAUAAUAAUAUAGUAAUUAAUUAUUCAAAUAAUUAUAUAAAUGCAAUUUUUAAUUAUGAAUAUAAUUAUUAUUCAUAAUCCAAUUAUAAUAUAAAAAUUAAAUUAUAUAAUAAUGAUAAUAAUUCUUUUAACAAAAAUAAAUAAUUUAAAUUUUUAUUACUCUUAUCAUAUUAAAAUAUAAAUAAUAUAUUAAUACUCGUAAAUUAUUCGAAUUAAAAAAAAAAAGCCAUCAGUUUCAGUACAAACUUACCGUUACUCUCCGUCUCUCUCCAUUACUCUCAGUCUCUUUCCCUCGCCGCCCUCUUUUUCUUCCAACUUUUAUCUUCCAGAACUUAGAAACAAAAACCAACCAAAGUCCACAAGUAUAAUUUAGAAUUUUUUGUUUUAUAAUUUUAGAUACAUAUAAUUUACAAUGAUAUAAAAUAAGACAUGAAGGUUUAAAAUUAAUAAAAAUAAUAUAUAAAUUUGAAAAAAUACUAAAAAUUAUACUUUAUAUUUAUUGUAUUCACAUGAAUUGAAAAAAGAUAUUAAGAAUGAAAACAAAAAUAAAAAACACCUUAUUUUAAAAAUAAAUUUUAAUAUUAUUUUAAAUAUUAUCAUAAUAAUAUAAUUAUCUAAAUAAUUUUAUUAUUAAAAUGAUUUUAUUAUUCGUGAUUUAAAAAUAAUGUUAUUUGAUUAAUAAUAAUUAAUUCAUAAAAAUUAAGUAUUAUUUGAUUAAUAUGAUUAAAAAUUAAAAAUUAUAUUAUUUAAAAAUAAAAAAUAAUUAUAUAUAUUUUAAUAAUUAAACAAAUUAAUGAUUUUAAUGCUGAUGAAAAUAAUAAUGUGCAUGUAUCCUUUUGUCCACAAUCUCGCAAUUCCCUUCUGCACUAGUUUGUGGAGUCUCUUACGGUGGCGUAGGUUUGGUAGUCAACAAAGAACAAAACUCUUUUCGGUAGCCAAAUUUUCGACAAUGGAAACAUAUUAAAAGGAUGCAUGCGUGACCUCUUAUUCCAUCAAUUAAAGACGCUUCACAGUCAAGUUUUCCUCUAAGGUUUUUGCGCAUCGUCCUUCUCAUCUUUGGAAAAGGUCACUCAUCUUCGGUCUCGUCAAUAUCAGAAUUCAGAAAUACUCUCCUUAGAUUGCAUUUCAAUAUCCAUUCAUUCCAUGAAGAAUUCGAAUUGUCCUUCAUACCCAUCAACAAACCCCUGUAAGAUAACGGCCUUCAUAGAUUCUACCAUUAAUUGCUUAAGUAUUUUCUGUAACAUCAAUACCACGUUACACAGAUAUUUGAAUUUUUCCUGCAUUUCACUUGCACAAUUUUGGCUUAGGAUAGAAGACUUAGUUUGCAUGCCGAGAAAUAGGGCAAAACAAAGCAUUAUAUGUUGCAGAAUAAACUUAUAGCUACUACCACUGAUUGGGAAGGAAGGGUUGAUUAUGAAGUAGGUUAUCAGAUAGUAACUCUCCUCAAAGAAGAGCUUUUAGAGUUUCUUUAACUUGGUUAUUCCUCAAAAAUUUUGAGCUGUAUGUAUAAGUGGGGAGGAUGAACCAAAGAUAGAAAAGGUAGCUUUGAGCUGAAUAGCGAAGGCUUUAGGCGAUAGAGGCGUGGCAACUGCGACUUAAAACACUUGGGUUUUUUUUUUGGGAAAUGAAUCGGUGUAUGGAGAGAGCACAGGAGCAAAAAAAAAAAAAAAAAAAGGUCUUUCUGAUGGGCUUAGGUGAUUUGGAUUUUGGACUGACACAUAGGGUCGCUCAACCAGGGGAAGUUUGGGGCUUGGAGUUUCAUAAAAACCUAAGAUUUUUGUUUCAAAGUAUCUAAAAUUUAUAAUGCAAUGCAAAACAGGUUUUAAGCCAUUCUUCUUCUUAAUUAUAAAGUUCAAAAGUAUGACAUUAAAAACCAAUGAUUAAUAAAAAAAAAGUGCAGGAAAUUUAUUUGACUUCUUGUAAAGUGAAACAUAAAAUGAUAUAAAAUUAAAAGUAAAUAAUGAAAUUUAAAAUGAUAAUACAAAGUAACAAUGAAAUUUAAAAAUGGUAAUACAAAGUUAAAAUUAGGUAAGGCUUGAAUUUAAACAUGACUGAGAUUAAAGAAAGUUAAAAAGUGAACAAUCCAUAUUUUAAAUUUAUAUAUUACAUAUCUCUGAAUAAAAUUUUGGAAUAUAACUCAAGAUUUCACUAAAAAACUCAUUUAUAUUACACUUCUCUGAAUAAAAAAUUAAAAUAUAAACAAAUGUUUCAACAAAAAGUUCAUUUAUAUUUUUACGGAGAACAGAUCGAAUAUGUGAUCUUCCUCGUGUUAACAAAACAUAAAAAAUUAGCCUAUUCUCACAUGCUGAGAGGUGCUGGUGCGUGCGCGUCUAUUUCUCUUUCCCUAUAUUUGUGGUAUAUAUACGUACCUGUUUGGAGUUUAAAAUUUUAGAAUUAUUUUAAGGGAUAUAUUGAUUUUUAUAUUAUUUGAAUCCAAUUUGGGUCUAAAUUUAAAAUUUUAAUUUUUUUUAUUUAUUAUUUUAUUUAUAAGUUAUUUAUCUUCAUUAAAUUUUUAUUUAGUGAUUUUUUUCUUAUAUAUCUUUAUUUUUUUCUUAAUUAUUUUUAACUUUGUUUUAUUUUUAUUUUUUAAAAAUAAAAUAAAACAAAAAUGGAAAAGAGUUGAAAAAAAUUUGGGUGAAAUUGAAUUUUUAAAGGAUAUGAAUUUAUUCAUUCGAGGGUUUUGUACUAAAACCAAUUUCUUUAUCAGAUAUACAAUGCGUUGAUAAAAUUUAAGGAGUUGAUUUUGAAACAAAUGGAGUAGGAUGUUUAUGAAAUUCAUAGAUUAUUUUAAAGAUAACUUUUUAGAAUAAUCUUUGAUUGAGUAAGAGUUUUUAUCAAGUUGGGACUAUACUCUUAUAAAUGCCCUACAAGUCUGCAUAAUUAAGACAAUAAUCAUAAAGGAGAAUUUGAGAGAAAGAAAGUUUUAGACGAUUCAAGUUUAAGUGUUAGGUUAUUUUCAAUUUCCGGUAAUUUUUCACAAGAUUUCCAAGCUCCAAUAAGAUUUUUAGAUUGUGGUGAUAUUUGCUGAAAAUCCUGACGAAGAUUUUGAUGAUAUCUCUAUAUUCCAAUGAUGAUUCUUAGUUUUCAAAUGUUAACCCGAUUUAAUCUAUGUUGUAGGUUUGCCUUUUUUAAUUUAUUGUAUUUUAAUUAGUUUAUUUUAUGUUAUUUUUUAUCAUAUUUUACUUAGGGUAAGAAUUUUUAGGAUUAGAUAAAAUUAUUAAUUUUAUUAAUAAAAAUAAUUAGAAAUAAAUUAAAAUAAAAAUAAAAUUUUAACAAAAUUUUGAAAAAUAAAUGAUAAUUAUCCAAAAAUAAAAUUUAUAAAAAUUAGAAAUGAAUAAAUUUUUUAAAAAAUUUCCAGGUCACAGAUUUUCUGCAAAUGAAUAAUUUAAUAAAAUUGACUAUAUUUUUUUUUAUAUAUUAAAAAUAUAUAAAAAUAUUAUUAAAUAUUUUUUCAGUAUUCUAUAAUAUUUAUUUAUUAAAUUUACCAAACCCUAUUUUAAUUUUUGUUUACUGCAUUUUUAAAACUGCUUUACUUUAACAAUAGUUUUUUUGUAUGGAAACUCCAACCGAAUCAAAAGAUCCCUGAUUAAGGAUCCCAUCCACUGACAUUCUGUUGAUAGUUCUGUUGAGAUAUAGGGUAAUGAAUCUGCCAACUUGUUUAAGUGACGAUAGAAAGCUCACAGAUAGGUUGUUUUUAAAAUAUUUCCUAUAAUAGAACAAAACAACUAUCAUUAAAUUAAAAGAAAUGAUAAGCUUAUUUUAAAAUUUUCAAGAAUUUAUUUGUAAGUAGUUGGUUUAAUCGGUUAAGAUCAUUUUUUUUUACGAAAUUAUUUUAAGUUUAAGUCUUAUUAGUAAUAAUUUAUUAAAAUCAUCUCGAAUGUAAAAUUUAUAAUCAUUUAUUUUAGAUUAUCAGAUAUAAUAUAUCUUGCUCUUAACUUAAGAAAUUGGAAACUUAUCUAUCAAAGAUUUUUUCCUACCAAAAAAAAAAUUCCAAGAAUUUGAUUGAAAGUUUGAGACGCACUUUACGCAUUCAUUUAUUGUAAAAUCAAAUUACAAAAAAUAAAAAUUAGAUCAUAAUUGGCAAAUCAAACAUCCAGUCAAGUUAAAUCUAAAACCGCUAUAUGUUUAUUUGGGCCAGCUAAACUUAGGCCUAUUACAAUGUUAUGGUCCAAAAAUAAUAAAGAUGGGCUGGGAUAUAUUUCAACUUGUAUGUUCGAGCCGGUAUAUGUCGUUGAUCUCGAGUCAUAUUCCACGCACAAAAAAUAGUCAUGUAAUUUAUUUGAGAAAGCCAAAAACUAUACCACAAAUUAUUUAAAUAACACAAAAAAAAAAGGUAUACAACAAAUUUUUAUUAAAGAUACAUAUAAUGGAUGUUCCCAAACGGACGCUCCAAUGAAUAGAACUUAGAAAUUUGAUAAUGGAAGUAGCAGAUUCAAAUAUUGAGAAGAAAAAAUGGAGAUUAGGGGUGGAAGAGUAGUAGCUACUUGUGUUUUUUGAAUAUGCAGGCCAAGUCCGCAAGACACAGGAUAUUUUCUUUGUUGUAAAAUAGAUAUAUAUAAUUAUUUAGGAGAUUGCACAUGGUCAAUAUCCUUGAUCUUCAACAUGCCUUUUAUUUAUGCUUAGCUAGUCUAUAAAAUCCUAUUUAAUUAUUGAGAAUAAAUCAUCACCUCUUCUUCCUCAGCCUAGUAAAAGAGAAGGGAUACUCUGUUCAUGUCUAAAGAAAUUUUGCGGAUCAACCAUUCUCUUCACAUGAAUCAAUCGGUUGAAGUUGUUGUUGAAAUAUUUAAGACCCCAUUUGCUUGCUUGUCUAUAGCUCGUGUAUCUGCCUUUGUUAUUGCUUCCAAGGUCAAGAUCCCUGUAGUUCAUGUAAGCUGAUCUGGGAGAUUUUGAAACGUAGGGUUCCAUGUACCUGUAAAGCCUUCUCAUAUAACUUAUAUGCUUCUGAGAUGCAGAAGCAUCUUCUUCUUCCCAUAUCACUAUAUAAUGGAUGUUGAACAAAUUCCCUGCCCUAUGAGGGUAAGGAGUCUCAGACUCCGGAAUCUCAUCCAUUAUGCCUUCGUAAGGACUAAAGAUAAGCUCCACCGCCCAGGUUCCUCCUCGUAAAACCUUUGCCACAGACCUUCUAAUGAAGUUUCAGGAAUAGGUUCCUUAACAUAGUCCGAUUUCCCUUUGAAGAACACUGCUGUACCUGUCCUGUUAAGCAAAAUAUCUAACGAAUUAAUAGAGAAAAGAAACAUUAAAUAAAUUAAUAAAACAAAAAAAAUGAAAAGUUAAUUAUAAUCAAUCUAAACAAAAUUUAAAAAAAAGACUAAAGAGAAACAAAUAAAUUAAUUAAAUAUUUAAUAUAAAAAUAUUUGAAUUAGAACAUAAAUAAAACAUUAUAUUUGUUCUCAAAAAUAAAAACAUACUUUUAUCUAACUUUUUUAACAAUAUUUAAAUAUCUUAUCUUUUAUAUAAAAAUGCAAACUCUCAAUUCAUCCAUGCUUCCUAGUACAUAAUUCAUUAACUUAGAAUGAACCAUCAUAUAAGUUCUAAAUAAAUCCUAAUACCCAGUUAAUUCAAAUUUAAAUUUAUUUUCUUUUGCUUAAUUAUUAAUUUUAAUAUAAACCAUAUUUUAAGGAGCACUAAAGGUAGAAAUUGGACUUACUUGUUCAUGAGUAUAACAUGGCUUUCAUUUAUUUUUAGCUUUUGUCGAUUUCUGUCAAAACCAAUAAAUCAUAAUCAUCAGAUAAAAAAAUUUAUCUUCUUCAAUUUCUAAUUCUAAUAAUAAUAAAUAAAAUAAUCUUGGUUUGAAUGGGAUGGCCUCUCUUAUGCUCUUUAUUUUCGUUCUUAAAUUCUAAUUUCAGUAUAUAAUAGUUUAUUAAACACGCACUUAAACAUAUACAUAUAUAUGUAUGCAUGUAUAUAUAUAUAGAAUCAUAAUUAAAUUGAAAACAUGAUAAAUUAACAUUUGAUAAAUUUGAAUUUAAAAUGUAUGCUAAAUUUUUUAUUUUUUGAUAGAUUUUGAUUUAAAUUUAAAUAAUUAUACAAAAUAUUAGAUAUAAAUAAUUUGUUAAAUAGAAUUAUUUGGUAGAAAAUAAAAUUUUAUUAAGUAUAUAUAUUUGGAAUUGUGAUUAAAUUUAAACAUAAAAGAUAAAUUAUAAUUUAAUAUAUUUGAAUUCAAAAUUUAUAUAAAAUUUUCAGUCUUAGAUUUUGAUUUAAAUUUAAAUAAUUAUCCAAAAUAUUAAAUUUGAAUAACUUACUAAAGAAAUUUAUUUGACAAAUAAAAUAAUAUAAAUAUUAUCUUAUGUGUCAUCAAAAGAGAUUAUUCACCUAAAUAUCUACAUAAAUAAUUUUUAUCAUGUAAUCUUAUAUAUUGUAAUAUAUAUAUAUAUAUAUAUAUGAUUAUACGAUUUAGUUUACCAAUAAAAGUUACUUUAAUUCCACUAUAGAAUGUUACCCCGUUCAACAACUAGUAACACUGCAUCGACCAAACUAUAAACAAAGGGAAUUUUAUAUGCAGCCAUUUUUUCUCUUUAUAACCACAUGUUAAAUACAUCCAUAUUUCAAACCCUCUUUAGGAAAACUUUUUCACCACAACCAAUUGAAUCACAAGUGCAUUUACAUUCAAACCAUUAACAGCCAAAAUCACAACCUCACCCAUUUUCCUUUUGUCUGAAAUCACCGUCAGAUAUUAGCUAUGUGUAAGUUGUUUUUCUGAAUCUCAAAUCAGAACGCUUUCUAAUCAUUUUCCUUAUAGUCUUUGUCGCGACAUGCUUUGGUUUCGCAUUCCACCUUCAUUUUCGGUAUCCUAGUAUUUUUAAAAUCACUAUAGUACUUUAAUCAUUAAGAUGAUUUUAUUAUUAAAAUGAUCUUAUCAUUCGUAAUAAUGAAUCAUUUUAUUUGAUUAAGAAUAAUUAAUUUUUAAUAAUUAAAGUUCUUUAUGUUCGGUGAUUUUAAAAAUCAAAUAUUAUUUUGUUUAAAAGUACUAAAAUAACAACGUACAUUAUAAUAAUUACAUAAGUUAUGAUUUUAAUGUUAUUUAAAGAAAAUAAUUUGUAUAUAAAAUAUUAAUAAUAUUUUAUUUAUUUCAUAAUAAAUAUAAUUAAAUUAUUAAAUUAAAAAUAGAUUUAUUGACAAUAAACUAGUUUUGAUAGUAUAAAUUAUAUUUGAAUUAAAAAAAUAAAACUAAUAUAUUAAAAUCAAAAGAUUAUAUUAUAAAUAAAUUUAAAAAAAUUAAAAAAUUUGCACAAAACUUAUUACAAUAAAUAUUAGUUUGAAAAUAUAACAAUUAUAAUAUAAACUAAUAACAAUUAAUUAUAAGAAAAAAAUUUUAAUUAACAUAUUAAAUGGGUAAUAUUAACUUUUAUUAAUUUUAUAUAUUACUUCAUCUCGGUGAUAAAAGUUUUUCACCUCUUUAGAUGGGAAUUAAAUUACCUUCUAAGAUAGUGAUCAAAUUACUAUCGAUGAUUUAAUAUUACUGUUAUGUAGGAUUAUUAAAUGGUUACCAAAUAUGUUGAUCUGAUGCCUAUAAAAUAAAUGAUGUGGUAAAUCAUCAUAAGUUUUUGAUUAAAUCACUAUACCAAAUACUAUUUAGAUAAUUAUAAAUAUGAUGUUAGUUGUAUAAAUAAGAAGAUGAAGUUGAGUUUAUGAAGUAAGAUUGAAAGAAGUGAAUAUUAGAUGGUAUGUUUGAAGGCUCAAAAGUAUUUAAUAGGCUAAUUAAUUAAUUUCACUUUAUGAGUAAUUUUAUAUAAAAAAUUUUAAUUUUUGGUAUAAAAUGAAACAAUGUGGCUGAUAUAAAAUAUAAAAAAUCUAAAUUUUUUUAGAUGUAAAUUAUAGAACUUUUUUUAUCUAAGGGCUUUCAAAUAUUUUCAAAUUUGAUCUCGCACAUUAAUUUGAUCAAUUUUCUGUUAUUUUUUUAGCUUUUUGUCUUAAUUUUUUUCUUCCUCUUGUAUUUAUUUUACCUAUUUUGCUUUUAUUUACUUAUUUGUUAUUUUUUCAAAAAUAAAAAAAAUAGAAAAACCAAAAAAUAUUUAAGAAAAAGAAGAAAAAUAAAGAGGGAGAAUUUUUUUGGAACAAGAAUUCUUUUAAACACUUAAACUUUUUUUCUUUUGAUUUUUUGUAUUGGGUAAUAAAUUAAUAAAUAAAAUUUAUUAUUAUAUAAUAAAUAAAUAACUUCUAUUUUUAUUUUUUAUUGUAUAACAUUAAUAAAUAAAUAAAUUUUAAUAUUAUAUAAUAAAUUAAUAAAUAUAUUUUAUUUUAUUUUUUUAUUAAUUUUAAAUUACUUAUUAAUUUUUAUUCUAAAUACUAUUAAUGAUCAUUUUAUUUUCUCAUUACAAUUUAUUCUACCAUCACCAUUAUUUUUUGAUUGAAAUACAUAUAUAAUUAUUAAUUUUAAUCUUAUCAUUACAAUAAUUAAUUUUAUUAUUAUUUUUAAUUUCAUCAAAAUUAAUUUUAUCACUCAUCUAAAUAAACUUGAUCUUGUCGAGGAAGCCAAUGAACUCUUUGUGACUAGAGAACGUUUUGGUGCCAUUUUGGUUGUCGAAGACUUAUCAAUUAGUGAUCGGCAGCCAAAUUUCUCUUUCGAAUGAUGCACCGUAAGUGUACCUAUGAAAAUCAUAAAAGAAAUCUUACCUUUCUACGACGGAAACCAACUUGAGAAGAUGAUUCCCAACGUCCAAAUGCUCCAGCAAUUAUCACUCCUCUCGUGGUUAUUUUGUCUCUCUAGCACAGUGAAAUAUGAGAGGAUAAAUAGGAAAAAAAAUUAUUUUUCUCUCGAAAUCUAAUAAAAUUUCUUAGGAAAGAGGAUUUAGAUUUUUUCUAAUUUUCUUUUUAUUGACAAUGUUGUUAUUUGUGAUGGAAAUAAGAAUUUAUCAAAUUAAUUAUAAAAUCAAAUUACGAAAAAUAAAAAUUAGAUUAUAAUUGGCGAAUCAAACAUCCAGUCAAAAAUCUAAAACCCCUGUAUGUUAUUAUUUGGGCCAGCUAAAACUUCGGCCUAAAACAAUGUAUGGUCCAAAAAAAAUAAAGAUGGGCUGGGAUAUAUUACAACUUGUAUGCUCGAGCCGGUGUCUGUCGUUGAUCUCGAGUCAUAUUCCACGCACAAAAAAUAGUCAAUGUAAUUUAUUUGAGAAAGCCAAAAACUAUACAACAAAUUAUUUAAAUAACACAAAAAAAAAAGAUAUACAACAAAUUUUUAUUAAAAAUACAUAUAAUGGAUGUUCCCAAACGGACACUCCAAUGAAUAGAACUUAGAAAUUUGAUCAUGAAAGUAGCAGAUUCAAAUAUUGAGAAGAAAAGAUGGAGAUUAGGGGUGGAAGAGCAGCAGCUACUUUCUUGUGUAUUUUGUAUAUGCAGGCCAAGUCCGCAAGACACAGGAUAUUUUCUUUGUUGUAAAAUGGAUAUAUAUAAUUAUUUAGGAGAUUGCACAUGGUCAAUAUCCUUGAUCUUCAACAUGCCUUUUAUUUUUGCUUAGCUAGUCUAUAAAAUCCUAUUUAAUUAUUGAGAAUAAAUCAUCAUCUCUCCUUCCUCAGCCCAGUAAAAGAGAAGGGAUACUCUGUUCAUGUCUAAAGAAAUUUUGCGGAUCAACCAUUCUCUUCACAUGAAUCAAUCGGUUGAAGUUGUUGUUGAAAUAUUUAAGACCCCAUUUGCUUGCUUGUCUAUAGCUCGUGUAUCUGCCUUUGUUAUUGCUUCCGAGGUCAAGAUCCCUGUAGUUCAUGUAAGCUGAUCUGGGAGAUUUUGAAACGUAGGGUUCCAUGUACCUGUAAAGCCUUCUCAUAUAACUUAUAUGCUUCUGAGAUGCAGAAGCAUCUUCUUCUUCCCAUACCACUACAUAAUGGAUGUUGAACAAAUUCCCUGCCCUAUGAGGGUAAGGAGUCUCAGACUCCGGAAUCUCAUCCAUUAUGCCUCCGUAAGGACUAAAGAUAAGCUGCACCGCCUCAGGUUCCUCCUCGUAAAACCUUUGCCACAGACCUUCUAAUGCAGUUUCAGGAAUAGAUUCCUUAACAUAGUCCGAUUUCCCUUUGAAGAACACCGCUGUACCUGUCCUGUUAAGCAAAAUAUCUAAC